GCAUUCAUCCUGCCUCUUGAAACAAUCGACUCUGGGUAAUCUAAGGGGGCAAAGAGACAUUUUAGUUAUCCUUCACCUGAAGAGACAAGGAAACCAAGCCCUCGGAGCUCUGUGUUGGAUCCUGGCUAGGAACUGACUGGCCAUGCUGGGAGAAAGACUGAGGAGGAGCAGAAGAGAAUCCGGACAAAGAAGGCAGAGCAGGAGGCGAGGUUGCUGGAAGGACCGUUGAACCCAGGUGAUUCCCUGCCAAGUAUACAGCCCAAGCUGUUCUACCUUUACAGAGCUGCAGUGACGAGCACAGCCCCUCUUAGGAGAAGGGAACACAGGCUGUGUUCUCCUAUGACUGUACAGACAAUGCACGACAGAUUUAAUCACAACAAUUAAAAAACAAGGACCUCCAGAGGGUUAGAAAAUGAGAGAAGACUGUAGAGGGCUGGGGGGAAGGAAGAGGAUGACAUUCUACACCACAGGAAAGAGGAAUAUUGUUUUUAACAACUAUUCGAUUAGCUGCCAGCGGGAUUUUUUUUUAAUAUGCAAAAUGUUCAGUGAGCUUCAAAUGAAGUUUCAUGGCAGCUUGAUUCUUCUACUCCCAUCUGUGCAAUACUACAUUAAAAUCAGCAGCUAGGCAAUAAUGUUUCCCCCUCCCCCUCCAAUUAAGUCUCUGAACUCUUUUCCUAAGCCCUUUCUUUCCUCUUUUAUUUUGAUAUGCAAGACUGAAAGGAAGAUAAUCCCUCGCUGGGCCUCGUUAUGGGGUUUGUGGUGGAGGGGACAGUUAAUUGUUCUCAAGGUGAUGUUAUUUCAGGGCGGUUUAUUUCAUUUAAGCACACGAGAAAAACAGUUUUUGCAUCUUCGAUUUGAAACGGGGUGGUAAUACCGAGACAGUCAUAACAGCAGUGAUUUUGAAUAAACAGAAUUCUUAUUUUUCCCCUAAAUGAUCAUAAGCGAUAACACAAAUCUCCCCACAGUUGUUAACCACCCUGUCCAGGCAAAGAAGUUAAUUGAUCCGGGGAGGACAAGCCUCUGACUCUGUGCUUCUAGGAAAUGAAAAUAGAGCAAGAAAUGACCGGGCAGAAUCUGAAUUUAGUGGAAUUUUUGAGUUUUACUUCACUGCACACAGUACUUCGGGAAAGCAGGAAAUCUGGAAACUGCUAGAAAAGUGGAUUUACACAUGCCAUUUUCCUCUCUGGAAGAAUUCCUGGUUUCAUGCAUGGCAAAAGUCAGAGCUGAAAACAACUUCAUAAGGGCUCAGUCAAGUGCAUGGCAGAGCUUCACUCACAAUUUGGAGGGACUGGUAGUCAGCCUGGGAGAAGUCCAGGGCUGGCAGGACAGGAGGCCUUGCAAGUCAAGAAUGAUAUACGUUCACAGAGCAGUGUGUGGCCCAGGUCUAGAGUCAAAGGACAUGCUUGCAGGUCAGUACUGAGGCAAAUUAACAGGUCUCUGGGAGUGAGCUAGAAAAGAUCAGAGGGGAAUAUCCUCUAGCUUUUGGUUCUAUAAGGAAGCCUCAGUUUGUAUUUCCUAAACUUUCAUACAAACAAAAGCACAAAAUAAGCAGAACAACAUUCAAAGUAAAGAGAAUUAUUGAAGGAACAGAGGGAAUGAGAACAUGGGAUGAAGAAAUAAUAUUCUUAAUCUGAAUAUCUUGGGUUGCCAAACCUUUUCAUGUAUAUUCCACUGGCAUCUCUUAAUGCUGGAAAACCUUCCAACUGUUGUAGAAGAUUCAGCAGCUGCUUGAGUUGAAGCCAAGACUUAAAAGCAAUUUUUUAAAAGGCAGAAAUGUACAAAACCUCGUUCUAUCUAAAUUAUGUAGCACUUUAGAAGAUUAAGGGAACUACAAAAGACUGAAGCCCACAAGUUAUCUGUAGCUAGAAAAAAUAUAAGCACACAGAAGCUAUGCUAUAAACAUUUUAGAACAUCAAAUAACAUAGAUUGCAUUGACUUUUUUUUAAUCCUUUAGAUUGAGAUAAAACAGCCAUUCUGCAUGAGAGGAGAAUAAAAUAUUUCAUGGAAAACAGGGUCUUUGCAAAGUUACCAAGCAAAUCAGCACGAAACAAACCAAACCAAUCGCAUAUAGCAGGUUAACAUGAAUAUAAAUUCUUUGUGGCCCCAAACCUGCAAAUAUCAGGCACAUGCUUUAUUUUAGUGUCAUUGAUGUGCACCAUUGUUAUGCGAAUCAGUGCCCAGGAUAUCAGCAAAACGAUAUUCUGUACUCUGUCAUAUUCACCUGAUUACUUAGAGAUAUAGGGGUCUGAUUCUCCUCUCACACAGAGCGUACAGAGUUUGGAACUCUGUUGCCCUUCAUGGAAUUACUUUUGCUUUGCACUAGAGUAAGCAAGAUCAGAAUCUGAUUGAUACUAUGGUUAAAUACCUUGGCAGACACUGAAGAUACAACUGUUCCAUAGCUUCCCAGAAUGCACUGCUUUCUAGAAAAUCCACAGGAAUAUGUCAGCGAUUUGCAGACUUGUGGCUGGCCUCAGGACUCAGGGAAGAUGUGGAUGGCAUUUUUCUGCAGGAACAAAGCGACUGCUCUGCCAGAGUCCUUAUACUGUGCUCAUCGAGAUCCCUAGGAGACUACGGCACAUCAGCCAGCAGAGUGUCAGCGAACACCCAUCACAGAAGGAAAAUUGAUCACAAAACAGACUUGGUGCUGGCAGCCUGGGAUUCUCACCCUGGGUCCUGCCAAUGACAUUAGUGCCAAUGUAAUAGAAAGAUUUCCGAGCUGAGAUUAGUCUUUGUUUGCAUAGUCAAGUCUUUGCUAAGAAGAUUGUAUAAGAAGUUAAUUAUACAAAACCAUACAGUACAUUAUAUUCAAGUUACUUUAUGGAGUAAUGAACUAUAACUGACAUUCCUAAUUGGAAAAAAUGGUUCAAAUCUGCUGGGAGUCAACACACUGGGAAAUGUAACUAAGCGCAUGCUGCAAAACCAAACAGUCUGAUGAAAUGACCAGACACGAUUGCAAACAAGUGUUUUAAAAUUGACUCUUGUUGCUUUUCGAUUCCCCUCCAUGUUUUCCUGUUGUACCUAAUAGGAAUGUAAAGCUUCAUGGGCCUACCACCAGUGAUGAGCUGCCAGAAGCUCAAGAACUGGUUCCUUCACUCGCUCCGGGUCUUCGGUGGCACUAAAGGACCUGCCGCCGAAAUGCCACCGAAGACCCGGAGCGAGUGAAGGACCCGCCGCUAAAGUGCCGCCGAAGGCUUGGAGUGCCGCCGGGGGUCAGUAAAAAUUCACAUGGGAGCCUCCCCAGCCAAGAGCUCAGGUGGGACGGACAGGACGGUCCCACGGAUCACAACCUGUCCAUCCCACCUGAGCUUCUCCACCCCUUUAACAACCGGUUCUAAACCGGCUUCAAAAUUUAACAACUGGUUCGUGCGAACCGGUGCGAACCGGCUCCAGCUCACCACUGCCUACCACUAAUAAAUGUUUGUGUGCCCAGCCUAUGCAUGCUGGUCAGGAGUUUGCAAACAGCCAGUUAUAACUACUUGUGUGCAGACUGCAGUCUCAAGAAGCAAGACCUUGCUCUUUAUUCUCUUCCGGAGAUCAACAAGAAGCAGCUCAAACAAGACAGUAAAGUUCCCCAAAGUGAGAACUGAGAAUUGCAAGUAAUGUCACUUGUGUAGUAGGGGAAAUCUGCUAGACUUUACAUAUGUGUUUUUCUGCAGAGGCUAGGACCAAUGGAAUGUGUCCUGUUAGCAUUUGGGGAAUUAACGGAAUAUGUACAAUGCUGUCUAUUUUCACUGAAGAAAAUCUUCAUUCCAAACUGCUGUUUUGGGCGGCAGGCUGCAUGCACCAUGUAAUAGUAAGUUUUAUAAAUGUGAUGUUUAUUUUAAAACCAGAAAUGACAGUGCAGGUAGACGUGCUGACACUUGGACUGGGUCAUGGUACAAGCUCGGCUCUCUCGGUAGCACCUCAGAGCACCUGGUGCCUCACUGAAAUCACCAAGAAGGGAAAAGCUUCUGCUUUGUUCCUGUCAAAUUGCAAAUCAGGUAGUUACCCUCUGCCCAUUGAAGUUUCAGUGGUACACAGAAUUCUUCUACAUUUCUUUUCCUAAACUGCUGUAUACUCUUCACCGUGUGCUAUUAAACCAGAGCCGUGAUACAGUCCAGAGCUAGCCGCAUUUCAUUUGUGAGUGACGUGAUCUACCGUCUGUACAGCGGUUUUGCUGUCUCUCAGGAUGGAAGGAGUUACAAAAAUGCCAAGUGUUGAUUCUUUAGCAAUAAUUCUAACUGUAUUCACUGUCUGAGCCACCACUUUAUAAUGAGUUGUAGGGUCAUCAAUGGGGAUUGCACAUAGCUGAAGUUUGUACUUUGGUGCUCUGAAUCCUAAUUGAGUUAAAGGAGUUAGCGAGGGUGGUUGUAGUGUUUUCCCCUUUAGGUUCAUCCCCUGGCGGGGAGUAACAUGACACACUUUGCCCCUGCACUACACAGGCAUGUGUGCAAUAUUACAAAACACUUUUAUUGCAAACGAAGCUCAACAAUUAAUCAAAUGACUCAUUUCAAUUAACAGAAUCAAAAUUUUGAACUCGGAAAGCCCAUCGGGGAAAUAGAGGGCCUAGGAAAAAAAACAUCCCCAUGACACCCCAAAGGAAAAAUAUUGGUUUGAUCUAUUAGCCCUAACAAGUUUUCUCUCUUGGUAAACUAUUCUGCAGAGCCUUGGGAGGGAUUUUAUGUAAAUGGUGAAGUCUUUCAAGCGAGCAUUGAUAUUUCAGCCAGUUUUCUUUAAACAAAUAAUACCUGGAGUGUCACUGGAAUUGACCCCAAUUAAACUUCAAUUAAAUGACAAUUUAUGAUUUCAUUUUAAAUUCCAUUUAAGGUAGCUGCACUCAGAUAUGUUUAUUGAAACCAAUUCCUAGUUCAUUUAAUCGGUAAGCGCUGUGGAGAUGAGCAAGGUGAUGUGGGUCUUCAACGUGCUUGCUUUGUAGCUCUGGACUGUGUCACAAGUCAAAUGAGUUUAGCACAUGCUCAGCCCAGCAUUGCGUGGAUGCUGUCCACAUCACAAUGCUGCUGGAAAUGUAAAUGGUCAGCCACUGCUCAGCACAGGGACUGCUGCAGUGUAAGGCUGAAGAAAAUUGCAGAGCUGGGUGGGAAUCCACAACCAGAAUAUCAAUAUGGGACAGCAAUACUAUCUAAGAUCAGGGUCCCGUUGUGCUAAACUUUCCACAUGCACAUAUAGUUAGAGAUGGUCCCUGUCCUGUAUUUAUUAUAAUUUAAAUAGACAGACAAACAGCAGCAAGGGAAACAGACAUGCCCAAGUUCACACAGCAGGUCACUGGCAUCAGAAUGCAUGUUUCUUGGUUUCCAGUCUAGUAGCUUAGUCCCUGGACCAUGCCGCCUCUCUAGCAGGAGAUAGCAGAGGGUCUGCAGGACAGGACUGAGGGGAAUCAUCUAUGUUGUUUGGAUAGAGGUAGUACUAGACUAGCAGAAUGACACUCCUGUUAAACUGCGCCAGCUUGCAAUGAAACUUUGCAUAAUCUCAGAACUCCCCCUGGGUCCAGUUACUGCUGAGGUAGUAGCCUCUCAAUUCUAUAGCAACAAACUUCGUGCACAAAUCUAGACAAAAAUUAAUUGUCACUGACUGUUCUGAAUGUACUGCCCAGGACAGAGAACCAGCUCUGUGCUCAGUUGCCUAAAUAGCAUCUUUUUAAAAUUUGGAGAGCAGGCAGUAACAGAGAAACGUUAUGGCCUCAGCCCUGUUCAAACACCAUCAGCCUCAGCUUGCCGCUGCAAAACCAUGACUUCAGUGGAGUUAGUCUGGAUUUACAUUGAGAUAAGUGAGAGUAGCAUUUGUCCCACUGUGUUUUUGAAGCUUUUAUUUAUCUGGUUAAACGUCUCCAAGGGAAAAUGUAUCAUACUUGUGUUGGUUCUCAGUGUGAGUCAUUCUGGAUCAUUGGAUAAACAAUAUUGCAAUAUUUUUAUUAUUUAUGUCAGGCUCACUGACCUGCCAUCUAUUGGAGGCACUGUAUAAAUCUUUUCAGACCACAAUUUUACAGCUGAAAGACUGACCUAAAGAAAAGAAUGCUAUCACAGCCAGCAACAGAUGGACAGAGGGACAAGAGGAAGGUAUUCCAGGAAAAGUGGCUACCACUUUACAUACUUUAUUAGGGGAGGGAAAAGAGAAGAAUUUUAAAUAGCAGAAACUAAUGCUAUAGGUUAUGAAAUGUGUGACUGUGAUUUAGAAAUGAGCACCAAGGAGAGGAUUGCCGUGUUUUCCAGGUGGACUGCAUACAUCACUAUAUUUCAUGUGUACUUUCAUUUCCUGCUGAACUUGAAGAGUGGCACUUCAUUUAUACAUUGUGCUAUACAAAUAGAAUUUAAAGUGUGAUGGUUCUUCUCUAGAAAGUGCCAUUGUGGGGCUCAGUGCUGGUCUCUACAAUGAUCCCAUAUCAGGCUUGCUCUGUUUAGGUGAAAUUCACCUGUGCACAGGGAGUUGGCACAAAAGCCUGUGCACUACCUAAGCUCUGUUUGAGGGCUGCACACAUGUGAAUUUCACCCAUAAUGAGUAAAAAUGAUCAGCCAUGCUGCUGAGUUUGCCAGCCCUGCAAACUCAUUCUGGGAUCUAGCUGUCAAACGGCUCAUGCAUCUGUAUCACAGAUUCUGCAAGGCCAAAAUCUUCAAUGGCCAGGGCUAACUGGGAAUGUAAUUUAGCUCUGGAAUUGGAAAUUACUUAGCUGUGUUGCUGAGGAUUUUGACCAAGCAUAGACUCCAGAUCACUCUCCUAUAUCUCUGUUGGCUCAGCAGUGCUAGCAGGAGUUAUUUUUGCCAUUGAACACAUGAGAAGCAGAUCUGUUGAGUAAGAAUAGGUCAUUUUUACAGGUUCCAGAGUAGCAGCCAUGUUAGUCUGUAUCCGCAAAAAGAAAAGGAGGACUUGUGGCAUCUUAGAGACUAACAAAUUAAUUUGAGCAUAAGCUUUCGUGAGCUACAGCUCACUUCAUCAGAUGCAUUCCGUGGAAAAUACAGUGGGGAGAUUUAUAUACACAGAGAACAUGAUACAAUGGGUGUUACCAUACACACUGUAACGAGAGUGAUCAGUUAAGGUGAGCUAUUACCAGCAGGAGAGUGGA